rnacentral:rRNA from 1 species
CGAACGCUGGCGGCGUGCUUAACACAUGCAAGUCGAACGAUGAAGCCGCUUCGGUGGUGGAUUAGUGGCGAACGGGUGAGUAACACGUGGGCAAUCUGCCCUUCACUCUGGGACAAGCCCUGGAAACGGGGUCUAAUACCGGAUAAUACUCUGUUCCGCAUGGAACGGGGUUGAAAGCUCCGGCGGUGAAGGAUGAGCCCGCGGCCUAUCAGCUUGUUGGUGGGGUAAUGGCCUACCAAGGCGACGACGGGUAGCCGGCCUGAGAGGGCGACCGGCCACACUGGGACUGAGACACGGCCCAGACUCCUACGGGAGGCAGCAGUGGGGAAUAUUGCACAAUGGGCGAAAGCCUGAUGCAGCGACGCCGCGUGAGGGAUGACGGCCUUCGGGUUGUAAACCUCUUUCAGCAGGGAAGAAGCGCAAGUGACGGUACCUGCAGAAGAAGCGCCGGCUAACUACGUGCCAGCAGCCGCGGUAAUACGUAGGGCGCAAGCGUUGUCCGGAAUUAUUGGGCGUAAAGAGCUCGUAGGCGGCUUGUCACGUCGGAUGUGAAAGCCCGGGGCUUAACCCCGGGUCUGCAUUCGAUACGGGCUAGCUAGA